rnacentral:rRNA from 1 species
CAGCAGUGGGGAAUAUUGCACAAUGGGCGCAAGCCUGAUGCAGCGACGCCGCGUGAGGGAUGACGGCCUUCGGGUUGUAAACCUCUUUCAGCAGGGACGAAGCGCAAGUGACGGUACCUGCAGAAGAAGCACCGGCCAACUACGUGCCAGCAGCCGCGGUAAUACGUAGGGUGCAAGCGUUGUCCGGAAUUACUGGGCGUAAAGAGCUCGUAGGCGGUUUGUCGCGUCGUCUGUGAAAACCAGCAGCUCAACUGUUGGCUUGCAGGCGAUACGGGCAGACUUGAGUAUUUCAGGGGAGACUGGAAUUCCUGGUGUAGCGGUGAAAUGCGCAGAUAUCAGGAGGAACACCGGUGGCGAAGGCGGGUCUCUGGGAAAUAACUGACGCUGAGGAGCGAAAGCGUGGGUAGCGAACAGGAUUAGAUACCCUGGUAGUCCACGCCGUAAACGGUGGGCGCUAGGUGUGGGUUUCCUUCCACGGGAUCCGUGCCGUAGCUAACGCAUUAAGCGCCCCGCCUGGGGAGUACGGCCGCAAGGCUAAAA